UGGCUCAGUGGUAGAGCACUUGCCUUGUAUGCAUGAGGCCCUGGGUUAGAUUCCUGG
rnacentral:tRNA from 1 species